rnacentral:rRNA from 1 species
AGAGUUUGAUCCUGGCUCAGAACGAACGCUGGCGGCGCGCCUAAUACAUGCAAGUCGAGCGAGAAGACGUAGCAAUACGUUUGUAAAGCGGCGAACGGGUGAGGAAUACAUGGGUAACCUACCCUCGAGUGGGGAAUAACUAACCGAAAGGUUAGCUAAUACCGCAUACGACUCCUGGUCUGCGGAUCGGGAGGGAAAGCGAUACCGUGGGUAUCGCGCUCUUGGAUGGGCUCAUGUCCUAUCAGCUUGUUGGUGAGGUAACGGCUCACCAAGGCUUCGACGGGUAGCUGGUCUGAGAGGACGAUCAGCCACACUGGCACUGCGACACGGGCCAGACUCCUACGGGAGGCAGCAGUAAGGAAUAUUGCGCAAUGGGCGACAGCCUGACGCAGCGACGCCGCGUGGGGGAUGAAGGUCUUCGGAUUGUAAACCCCUUUCGGCAGGGAAGAUGGAACGGGUAACCGUUCGGACGGUACCUGCAGAAGCAGCCACGGCUAACUUCGUGCCAGCAGCCGCGGUAAUACGAAGGUGGCAAGCGUUGUUCGGAUUUACUGGGCGUACAGGGAGCGUAGGCGGUUGGGUAAGCCCUCCGUGAAAUCUCCGGGCCUAACCCGGAAAGUGCGGAGGGGACUGCUCGGCUAGAGGAUGGGAGAGGAGCGCGGAAUUCCCGGUGUAGCGGUGAAAUGCGUAGAGAUCGGGAGGAAGGCCGGUGGCGAAGGCGGCGCUCUGGAACAUUUCUGACGCUGAGGCUCGAAAGCGUGGGAGCAAACAGGAUUAGAUACCCUGGUAGUCCACGCCUU